rnacentral:rRNA from 1 species
CUACGUGCCAGCAGCCGCGGUAAUACGUAGGUCCCGAGCGUUGUCCGGAUUUAUUGGGCGUAAAGCGAGCGCAGGCGGUUAGAUAAGUCUGAAGUUAAAGGCUGUGGCUUAACCAUAGUACGCUUUGGAAACUGUUUAACUUGAGUGCAAGAGGGGAGAGUGGAAUUCCAUGUGUAGCGGUGAAAUGCGUAGAGAUGUGGAGGAAUACCGAAGGCGAAGGCAGCCCCUUGGGAAUGUACUGACGCUCAUGUGCGAAAGCGUGGGGAGCAAACAGGAUUAGAUACCCUGGUAGUCCACGCUGUAAACGCUGUCGAUUUGGGGAUUGGGCUUUAAGCUUGGUGCCCGAAGCUAACGUGAUAAAUCGACCGCCUGGGGAGUACGGCCGCAAGGUUAAAACUCAAAUGAAUUGACGGGGGCCCGCACAAGCGGUGGAGCAUGUGGUUUAAUUCGAUGCAACGCGAAGAACCUUACCUACUCUUGACAUCCAUGGAAUCCUGUAGAGAUACGGGAGUGCUUCGGGA